rnacentral:rRNA from 1 species
GAUGAACGCUGGCGGCGUGCCUAAUACAUGCAAGUCGAGCGAACAGACGAGGAGCUUACUCCUCUGACGUUAGCGGCGGACGGGUGAGUAACACGUGGAUAACCUACCUAUAAGACUGGGAUAACUUCGGGAAACCGGAGCUAAUACCGGAUAACAUGUUGAACCGCAUGGUUCAACAGUGAAAGACGGUCUUGCUGUCACUUAUAGAUGGAUCCGCGUCGCAUUAGCUAGUUGGUAAGGUAACGGCUUACCAAGGCAACGAUGCGUAGCCGACCUGAGAGGGUGAUCAGUCACACUGGAACUGAGACACGGUCCAGACUCCUACGGGAGGCAGCAGUAGGGAAUCUUGCGCAAUGGGCGAAAGCCUGACGGAGCCACGCCGCGUGAGUGAAGAAGGUCUUCGGAUCGUAAAGCUCUGUUAGUAGGGAAGAACAAAUGUGUAAGUAAAUCUUCACGUCUUGACGGUACCUAAUGAGAAAGCCACGGCUAACUUCGUG